UUACUUACCUGGCAGGGGAGAUACCGUGAUCAAGAAGGCGGUUCACCCAGGGCGAGGCUCAGCCAUUGCACUUCGGCUGUGCUGACCCCUGCGAAUUCCCCAAAUGUGGGAAUCUCGACUGCAUAAUUUCUUGUAGUAGGGGACUGAGUUCGCGCUCUCCCCUG
ensembl:snRNA U1 U1 spliceosomal RNA